UACGGAGGGAGCUAGCGUUGUUCGGAUUUACUGGGCGUAAAGAGCGCGUAGGCGGCCAUGCAAGUUAGAAGUGAAAUCCUAGAGCUCAACUCUAGAACUGCUUCUAAAACUGCACGGCUAGAGUAUGGUAAGGGGUGAUAGAAUUCCUAGUGUAGAGGUGAAAUUCUUAGAUAUUAGGAGGAAUACCGAUGGCGAAAGCAAUCACCUAGGCCAAAACUGACGCUGAGGCGCGAAAGCGUGGGUAGCAAACAGG
rnacentral:rRNA from 1 species